rnacentral:tRNA from 1 species
CGGGAAGUAGCGCAGCUUGGUUAGCGUACUUGACUGGGGGUCAAGUGGUCAGAGGUUCAAAUCCUCUCGUCCCGACCA